GAUUUCUUAUUUUUUUUGCAUGUUUGUCACACUUUAAUGUUUCAGAUCAUCAAACAAAUUUAAAUAUUAGUAAAAGAUAACAAAAGUGAACACAACAUGCAGCUUUUAAAUGAAGGUUUUUAUUAUUAAGGGAAAACAAAAUACAAAACUGCAUGGCCCUGUGUGGAAAAAGUGUUUGCCCCCAAACCUAAUUGCACCCCACCCUUAGCAGCAACUACUACAAUCAAACGUUUGGGAUAACUUGCAAUGAGUUUGUUACAGCACUGUGAGGGAAUUUUGGUCCACUCAUCUAUGCAGAAUUGUUGGGCGCUCCUUAGGGGAGAGGCACUGUCAUGGUUUCGGUUUCCCUUCUCCUUUUUUUCCCUUCUGCUGGUCAUCUCAUUACACUCACACACCUCUUCAGCUGUUCUCAUUAUCUCUCCUCUACCGCGCUAAUUGAUUCACACCUGUUCUCUCUUUCCUCUAAUCACCUUUGCUAUUUCUAGUUCCCCUUUUUCCCUCGCUCCUUGCCAGAUUAUUUUGUUUGCUAUUGAUGCAUGAAGCUGCACUAACCCUUUAUUGCUGUUGUGUCGUGUCCUGUCCUGUCCUGCAUAUUGAACUGUCAGUCUCAGGUCGGAUCUAACUGUGCUCUGUACUUACCUGUCGCUCUGUCCAGUCCGGCCGAUGCCGACGAGUCCCCUGCACAGUCUCCUCUCCAGCCAUCUGACCUUGUUUCUUACGAGAGAAAGGAGGACAGCGAACGCCUUUCCCUGUGCGCUGACCCGUUUUACGAAGAAGGACUUUCUGUUAUGGAUUUACAUCGAAAAGAGACUUUCUGUUCACCGUUUGUGUGCCUGCUCCUCGGCUGCCUUUUGUUAUUUAUCUGAAGACUUGUUUUUCUGUUACACUGCUAUUCCCUAUUAAAAGUCUUCAUUUGCAUUUCACUUUUGGGUCUUACCUCUCCUCACUACAAUGCCACAUUGUUUUAAUUGUAUGCGGCAAUACUGCAGUCAUUUUGGCAAUAAAAAUGUAAAAAUAUAUUGCA
ensembl:lncRNA